rnacentral:tRNA from 1 species
AGCCCUAUGGUGUAGCUGGUCAAGCAUUGCGGGUUCUGGACCCGUAGACCUCGGUUCAAAUCCGAGUAGGGCUA